CCGAACUCCGAAUCGUUUCUUCUAUUUCGUCUCGCCCAGCCCGCUGCCCACGCGCCGCCGCUCCUCCCUGCCCCGCGCACCACCGCCACCACCCACCUGCCACUCCUCGCGCUCCUCCUCUGCUCGCACCGCCACCGCCCCGAUCUCUCUCUGCCCGCGCCGUCUCCUCCUCCUCCUCGCACACACCCGACCAGAUCCACCUCCACCUCCUCGCACACGGCCCGCCCGGAUCCGCCUUCUCCUCGUACUGGCGCGAGGCCAAGGAGCGCGAGGAGGAGGUCGAGAUGCGCGCCGAGGCCGGCGCCCGCCAGGACGAGAACCGCCGCCCGCCAGGCCGAUAUCCGCCUCCUCCUCACCGUGCCGCCGCCGUGGGAGAGCCGUGCUCCGCCGCGCCACGUCCCCGUGACGCCACCUGCUCUCCCCCUUCUCAAUGCAUCGAGUGCCCGACGAAGAAAUCACCCCGCGCUGACUUGCCCUCCAGUGUUUAAGCAUGACCCUAGCAAAUCUCUCGCGACCUCGCUCCUCCGCUUCCUACUGCGGUAGACCGGCCCCUUCGUCCGCCUCGGGAGCCAGGUGUUCCAGUUCCACGGAACGGCGGGGUCGGGUGAUGGCGAGGGCGAGAGCGACGCCCCGGCCCGAGGGGAGGAGGUGUUCGGGGGCCGGAGGGAGGAGGUGUUCCGGGGCCGGAUGGAGCUCACCGGCGUGCAGCCGCUCGUGGGGUCGUUGCGGCCGCUGUGGCGGCGGGCUACGGCAUUGGGCUCCCCCUAGGCAGCAGCUUCCGGGCGGUCACGGACCCGGCCAUGCUCGGGGCAGCCAGCGUCGCGGGGACUGCCGUGGUAAACUCUAUCGUGCUAGAGGUUGCAGCCGUGAGGCUGCAUCGACGACCCCACCAAGCUGGAGACCAGCGUCAGCGAGGUGGAGGCCAUCGCAAGCAAGUGAGUUUGGAUCGCCGGAUUGCCCCAUAUAGUUGCUGCGUUCGUUCCAGGUAUGGACUCAGUACACAAGAUGCAGCCUUCAAAGCAGAGCUCUGUGACUUGUAUGCCAGGAUACAACCAAGAGAUGAUGUGUGCUUCUAGUCUAAACUCAAUAUGGGUGGUUAGUCAUGUUACUUGGUUUGGGAGAUCCAUGGCUGAUAACGAAGUGCAGUUUUGAUUUCAAAAUUUACUGCACACAAGGCAACAUUGCCUUCGAUAGUAAUGUACAAAUAGAAGUUCAGAAGUCCUCCAAUUUUUUGUUUAUGCUCUUUGGAGAUCAGUCUAAUAAGAAAUACUUAGGUGUCCUGCACCAUUUGGACAUGACUUAAAUUUAAGUGAGCUCAGUCGGCUGCUUGAAUAUAGAAAAUCUACUAACAUGUCUACUUGCUAUAAGACUAGAACUAACAAAAUGGGAUUUGCAUCUGAGCAUGGUGCUUAUAUUCGCAAACUUCCUCGUGUCUAUUUAAUAACCGAAAAUUGCCAAUUAGUAUGCUUUAAUUUAUAAUAAUGUUUGUUAUCAUUGUGUGUUAAAAUGGUUUUAACUAUCACUUGUUUAAUAUUGUGAACAACUUUGGUUCAAAUACUCUUGGAAACACGAGGUGAUACACUAAUACUAUAGUUCAGUUGAUAUGUUUAUACAUGUGCAGUCAAGAGGGAGGUCUCAAGAAGAGUGAAGGACAAACCGGAGAAGGAAAUAAUCACUGUGUAAAGCUGAAGACAUUGCAGUUGAAGUCGGCGCUCUAUUGUUGGUUGGCUGUGUGUUGUAGCUUUUUUUAAAGGUUGGAUGUGUGUUUGUAGAACGCCGAAGAGGAUGCAUGGGACUCGUUGGAGAUACAAUCGAAAAUCACAUUGACAUUACACCCAACGCAUGUAUUCAUGAACUAGAAGCAAAUGAGGUAUGAUAUUAGUUUUUUCAUUAUUAGUAGCAAUAAUUUUGAUGUCUCUGCAAUCUAUUGUUGCACCGUAGCGACGCCCGGCACCUAACUAGUCUUCAGUAAGUUCGCAGUUUCGUGCUUUGCAUCCUGACAGUUAGCGCCCGCGAGGAAAGAAAAAAAGAAGGUCGAUCCCUUCCGCAGUUCCGCUGCCUCCGUCGGACCUGCCGCCUUCCCUCCUCCGCCCCCGCGCGGCGCGCGCCAUGCGCCUCCUCCGGACCCUUCCGAUCCCCUCGCGACCUCUCCUCUCCCGACCUAGGCAGGCUCUCGCCGCCAACGCCGUUCCUCUUCCAUCACCUGCCCAUCCUCUAGGGCCAGACACGGAGGUUGUGUUUGAGAAGGUGAGGGACUUGUCCGUCUUGGGGAAGAAGGGGAUGGAGGACGAGGAGCAGGCGGCAGCGAUGAGGCAGUUGGCAUAGACUAUUUUCCUGGUAACAUAGGUCCCGCGGCAGCACUAUCUCCUCUGCCUUCCCGGCGACGUGGCGGCCUUCUCUUCCUUCUGGCAGCACGUCUUGUCCCACAGAUUGUUUGUUUCAGAGCACCUUGAUGAAGGUCUAGGCAAGACUCGUUUGUUUCGACAUCUGAAGGCUAGCUCUUAUUUCAUCACAUUACAACUCAUAUGGCAAGCGCUAAAAGAGGUCUGCAGAUCGAGUGGCAAUGCCUAUCUCAAAAAAGAAGAGUUCAACCAGUAACCUUUGUCUGCAAAGUUUUGCCUUCCUGAACCUUGUAACAAGCUCCCAUGCUAAGUUCAGAACCAUCAAUUUGCUGCAACCAAUGCAGUCACAUUAUCAGCUUGUCAUAUUUGCAUCCGAUGGACUCUGGGAGCACUUAACUGACCCAGAGGUUGUUGAGAUUGUUGGCAGUACCUCUCAUAGUCAUAUGGAGCAUGGAGCAUGUGUUACUUGCUUAGACUGUACUCCGAUGAAAUAAGGCUUCCCCAAAUACAAAUUUUGGUAUCUGAAAGGAGCAACUUUCAUAUUGCAUUGAUGUUGUAAAACAAUAUGGAUGGCUCUCUACUAUCGUCAAAACUACAAAUUGCGCAUUACCAUGGAGUAUGGUUUGGAGGUGCUAUAGAAAAUAGAAACCUUCAUGUACUUGUAAAUUUCUAAUAUAUCCUCUACUACCAUAAUAUGUUAGGUUCAGGGAUUAUUGUAGUCAACAAAUGCAACAUGGUAGGCUACCAAUAUGCGUCAUGAUGUGGUGUGUGUUUUCAUCAACUGAUGCUUCUAAAGUCCAGUGAUCAGUGGCAGACAAACUCGUAGAUAACGAUGUUAUGCAAGAUUUAUAUAGCUUAAGAUGGAAAGGGCGAGCAAAUUCUCACACUUAAGGUCCGACGCAAGUGGAGAAUACAUUGUCAUCACUCAUUUUAUUAUUGUUGGAUAGUUGCAAAUUCUGCAAAAGUAUGUGGCAGCGUGCAGAGGAGCACACCUCAAUUUUGUGUCAGUUGUCAUGAUAGAAAGCUAAAUCUAAGUUCAUUUCCGUUUCUCACGAGUUAAUAAUUGGUCAUUUUGUAACUCUUAGAGGCUUCUCACUACUCUUCUAUUUCUGAUCAUGCGCUGGAAGAUGCACCUUUCAUUAGUUAUUACUUGGGCCCUGAUAA